rnacentral:rRNA from 1 species
AUGGCAGGAACCGAUGCAUCCACCGCCGCCGCUACCAUCUCCACGCUUACCACAUCCACCAUGAGCGCCCUGACUACCCAGUUCGCUGGUUCCUCCUACGCUUCUUCUUCCACCUCCAGCAACGGCGCUAGCUCCCUCGGAUCGCCUCCGUCAGAGAAGCUGACGAGGACGAACUUUCUUCUCUGGAAGGCCAUCGUGCUACCCCAGAUCAAGGGGGCACAAAUGGAGCACUUCCUGGACACCACAAGCACGGCGCCCCCUGCCACCAUCACCAUCACUAAGGAUGGGAAGGAAGAGCAGGUCUUCAACUAUGCCAGGACGAUCUGGUACGCCCAGCAGUAG